rnacentral:snRNA from 1 species
AGCUUUGCGCAGUGGCAGUAUUGUAGCGAAUGAGGUUUAUCCAAGGCGCGAUUAUUGCUAAUUGAAAAAGAUGUCACAACUGCC